UACGUAGGGUGCGAGCGUUGUCCGGAAUUAUUGGGCGUAAAGAACUUGUAGGCGGUUUGUCGCGUCUGCUGUGAAAAUCCGGGGCUCAACCCCGAACUUGCAGUGGGUACGGGCAGACUAGAGUGUGGUAGGGGAGACUGGAAUUCCUGGUGUAGCGGUGAAAUGCGCAGAUAUCAGGAGGAACGCCGAUGGCGAAGGCAGGUCUCUGGGCCACUACUGACGCUGAGAAGCGAAAGCAUGGGGAGCGAACAGG
rnacentral:rRNA from 1 species